rnacentral:rRNA from 1 species
CCUACGGGUGGCAGCAGUGGGGAAUAUUGGACAAUGGGCGAAAGCCUGAUCCAGCCAUGCCGCGUGUGUGAAGAAGGCCUUCGGGUUGUAAAGCACUUUCAGUGGGGAAGAAAGCCUUGGGGCUAAUACCCUCGAGGAAGGACAUCACCCACAGAAGAAGCACCGGCUAACUCCGUGCCAGCAGCCGCGGUAAUACGGAGGGUGCGAGCGUUAAUCGGAAUUACUGGGCGUAAAGCGCGCGUAGGCGGUCUGAUAAGCCGGUUGUGAAAGCCCCGGGCUCAACCUGGGAACGGCAUCCGGAACUGUCAGGCUAGAGUGCAGGAGAGGAAGGUAGAAUUCCCGGUGUAGCGGUGAAAUGCGUAGAGAACGGGAGGAAUACCAGUGGCGAAGGCGGCCUUCUGGACUGACACUGACGCUGAGGUGCGAAAGCGUGGGUAGCAAACAGGAUUAGAUACCCCAGUAGUC